rnacentral:rRNA from 1 species
UGGCGGCGUGCCUAACACAUGCAAGUCGAACGAAGCAAGUUGCUUCACCAAGUGUUGAACGAAGUACCCCAAGCGCAUAUGUUUAGGGAUACAAAGUAGAUAUACAAACUAAAUGGUGAAAGCAAAAGAAUUAAUGAAGAGCAAAAUGCGCUUUUCGCUAAUUCCAAGUGACAACACAACAUUGGUUCAAUGUUUGGUGAAGUAACUUGCUUAGUGGCGGACGGGUGAGUAACGCGUGAACAAUCUGCCCUAUACAAAGGAAUAGCCUCGGGAAACUGGGAUUAAACCAUAUGACACUUAAGAGUCACAUGACUAUUAAGUCAAAUUGAUUAAGAGGUAUAGGAUGAGUUCGCGUCUGAUUAGCUAGUUGGUAAGGUAAUGGCUCACCAAGNNGACGAUCAGUAGCCGGCCUGAGAGGGUGAACGGCCACACUGGAACUGAGACACGGUCGAGACUCCUACGGGAGGCAGCAGUGGGGAAUAUUGCACAAUGGGGGAAACCCUGAUGCAGCGACGCCGCGUGAGUGAAGAAGGUCUUCGGAUCGUAAAACUCUGUCCUUGGUGAAGAAAAAAAUGACGGUAGCCAAGGAGGAAGCCCCGGCUAACUACGUGCCAGCAGCCGCGGUAAUACGUAGGGGGCGAGCGUUGUCCGGAUUUACUGGGCGUAAAGGGUGAGUAGGCGGUUAUAUGUGUCAGAUGUAAAAGGCUAUGGCUUAACCAUGGUUAGCAUUUGAAACUGUAUGACUUGAGUGCAGGAGAGGUAAGUGGAAUUCCUAGUGUAGCGGUGAAAUGCGUAGAUAUUAGGAGGAACACCAGUGGCGAAGGCGACUUACUGGACUGUAACUGACGCUGAGUCACGAAAGCGUGGGUAGCAAACAGGAUUAGAUACCCUGGUAGUCCACGCCGUANNCGAUGAGUGCUAGGUGUUGGCCAGCGAUGGUCAGUGCCGAAGUUAACACAAUAAGCACUCCGCCUGGGGAGUACGG